UGAGUAGACCAGCUGUAGGUCCAUGCUGGAGUUUUUCUUUCAUUGUCAACAUAUGUGGGGGAUCAAAUGACCAUCUACCAGCAGUAAUCCUGCCACCAGGCAGCACGGGCUGGAGCAGGACACCCAGAGCCAUCAGACGAGACUGCUGCUGCUGGUGAAUCGUGAAGUCCCCUCCCCACCCUGCCACUGAAGGUGCUGGAGAGUCCCGGUUUGUAAGAGACCGUGGCCCAACACUUCCUGGGAACCAUAGCACAGGCCUGCUGCUUCAUGAAAAAGUGUGCAUGCAAUUCCUAAGGAUACCACGGACACAAAAACUGAGGAUUAAAGAUUUUUUAAAAAACCUGUUGAACGUCACUCAACCAAGUCAUGAGAAGAAUGGAAACAGCUGAAGAUAUAGGAUGGAUACAGAUAGGAGAGUGGAGAAGAUCUUGCACCUGAUUUUUUUCCAUUAGAGAACUGUCGACCCUCAUCUUCACUGCAAAUGACUUAGAUGAGGCUGAUUUCAGCACUAAGGCUGAACAAAUUAUCCAAGUCAACCCUAUUAGACUUAUAAUCUCAGGACUUUCGUUGGAACAAUUGAGGCAAAGAGACCUUCUUCACUGAGACAACCAGGGGCAAGGAAAACGUAAGCAUGGAAUGGUCAGGCCAACUAGAGAGGAAGCCUGGUAAUAAACUAAUGAAGUGAAGAGGGGAAGAAAGAGAUGGACAGGUAGACCUAAUACAUUAUUUAAGUCCCUGGAUACCACCAUGCCUGAAGCUUAUCUUUGGACAUUGCAGUUAUCAGAACCCAGAAGAAAAAAUUGAAGUUUGGAGAGAGAGAGGAAGAAGCCAUUUACCCACAGCCACACUGUUGGUGGUAAUGGGAUUCAAGCCUAUGAAUUAAAAAACUACACCACAGUGUCUCUCCUUGAGAUUGGACAAUGUCCUAUGGGCAGAACUCACUGCCUUCUGCAGUGAUGUGAAGUCUAGUAUUCACCAGCAACAACUAUGCCCAAUAGUGUCCCACCUAGCUCCUGGGUUUCAAAGUAACAAUUCUGCAGAUGGCCUGGAUUAGAAGACCCAAUGCAACUUGGUCUCAUUAACAUUUGAAACCAACCUUUUGCAGUGAAUAAACCUUUUCACCACAAGCUUAAGUUGUAGAAGAGGAAUGAUUUGGAAAUUUGGAUGUCACUAGGGGAACUUUAGCAAUAUUAGCUUUGUAAGGAAUUUGCAAAGCCAGAUACCAAAAAUUGUAUGUGAUGGAACAGGGAAUUCUUUAGGUGACAACUGUCCUCGCACAGAAGAAAAAAAACAUCAUGCCUCUUAGGCAGUUUUCAAAAAAAUGGGUAAUAAAUCUAGGGAGAGUUUUCAUUCUCUCCCUAAGUUUUAACUCUUCAAUAAAGUUGCAUAGCAGAAUACAAAGCAGCAUUCUCAAGAGCAUUGAGAGCUCAACUUCUUUUUCUUUUAUUUCUUUAAAACUUUAUUUUUAGUUGACAAUGAUGGUUAUUAACUGGCUUUUCAGGUUUACAUUCUACCAAUAUUCAUUAUUCUAGGAAUUUAAAACAUGCAAAUAUUUCAUUUACAAUAUUUUCUUCUGAAGGCCUUUUUAAAAAUUUUGACAAGGGUAACUUUAUUAAAGCAAAGAACUGAAGAUAAUGUUAAGGGACUCUACCUCCACCAUCUUUCCUAACUUAUAUCUUCCUUGAGAAAUCGGGCAAGGUUAAGUUUGCUUUUUUCCAGUGCUGCUGUUUUGGCUUGUUUUGGUAGCUGCAUUUUCAUUUCUGAUUCUGGUUCUGGAACUCUAUGGUUAAUUUCAGAGUCAACCUCAGCAAUCUGAAGUCUCCUCUUCAUCCUAGCUGAAGCUGACACUUUUUUCUCUCCCCUAUUCUUUUGCUAAGUAGAUUUUGAUGCCUGUGUUUCUUUUACAUCACAAAGAAGAGUCAUAUAUGCUUCCUUAUU